AGACGAAGGUGGCGAGCGUUGUUCGGAAUCACUGGGCAUAAAGCGCGCGUAGGCGGUCCAUUAAGUUGGAUGUGAAAUCCCUCGGCCCAACCGAGGAACUGCGUCCAAUACUGGUGGACUUGAGGAUCGGAGGGGAGCAUGGAAUUCCUGGUGGAGCGGUGAAAUGCGUUGAUAUCAGGAGGAACACCGGAGGCGAAGGCGAUGCUCUGGCCGAUAACUGACGCUGAGGUGCGAAAGCCAGGGGAGCGAACGGGAUUAGAAACCCCAGUAGUCC
rnacentral:rRNA from 1 species